GACGAACGCUGGCGGCGUGCCUAAUACAUGCAAGUAGAACGCUGAAGAGAGGAGCUUGCUCUUCUUGGAUGAGUUGCGAACGGGUGAGUAACGCGUAGGUAACCUGCCUUGUAGCGGGGGAUAACUAUUGGAAACGAUAGCUAAUACCGCAUAACAAUAGGUGACACAUGUCAUUUAUUUGAAAGGGGCAAUUGCUCCACUACAAGAUGGACCUGCGUUGUAUUAGCUAGUAGGUGAGGUAACGGCUCACCUAGGCGACGAUACAUAGCCGACCUGAGAGGGUGAUCGGCCACACUGGGACUGAGACACGGCCCAGACUCCUACGGGAGGCAGCAGUAGGGAAUCUUCGGCAAUGGGGGCAACCCUGACCGAGCAACGCCGCGUGAGUGAAGAAGGUUUUCGGAUCGUAAAGCUCUGUUGUAAGUCAAGAACGAGUGUGAGAGUGGAAAGUUCACACUGUGACGGUAGCUUACCAGAAAGGGGCGGCUAACUACGUG
rnacentral:rRNA from 1 species